AGAGUUUGAUCCUGGCUCAGGAUUAACGCUGGCGGCGUGCCUAAUACAUGCAAGUCGAAUGGUUAGCUUGCUAACCAUGGCGAACGGGUGAGUAACACGUAGGCAACCUGUCUAAGAGACGAGGAUAACCAUUGGAAACGAUGGAUAAUACUGGAUAGGAUAUAAUAAGGCAUCUUGUUAUAUUUAAAGAUUUAUCACUUUUAGAGGGGCCUGCGGCGCAUUAGCUAGUUGGUGAGGUAGGGGCCCACCAAGGCGAUGAUGCGUAGCCGGACUGAGAGGUUGAACGGCCACAAUGGGACUGAGAACGGCCCAUACUCCUACGGGAGGCAGCAGUAGGGAAUUUUCGGCAAUGGAACGAAAGUCUGACCGAGCAACGCCGCGUGAACGAAGAAGUAUUUCGGUAUGUAAAGUUCUUUUGUUUGGGAAGAAAAUAAAUUGACGGUACCAAACGAAUAAGCUCCGGCUAACUACGUGCCAGCCGCCGC
rnacentral:rRNA from 1 species